AUUGUCCACUGUGGUUAAGUUUGCAUCUAGAAAUGAAACAAACAAGUACCAACCCGUGAUUGGUUGCCUUGUUAUAUAUAUUUAGUUGGGAGCCUUGAUGUUAGUAGAUGAAAAACAGUUAGGGGUGUGCAAUUGGUUGGUCGGGACCAAACUACCGAAAUAUAGAGUUAUGGCAACUGAACUGAAAGUAAAAACCGAGUUGAAUUCUGUUCAUCAGCUUUUAUGCCAUUUUCAGAUUUAGUGUUUCCAAGAACAAAAAUUCAAAACCCUCACAAUCUCAGCAAAUAAACACAAUCAUUCACUAGAAUUGCAAAUUUAUAGACCCAGAAAUCCAAUCACAGAAAGGAAUCAUACAUGCAACAACAUUCUACCCAGGAAAGAGAGAGAGAGAGAGAGA
rnacentral:misc_RNA from 1 species